GUUGCUGUGGCGGCGUGCUAUACAUGCAGUCGAGCGAAUGGAUUAAGAGCUUGCUCUUAUGAAGUUAGCGGCGGACGGGUGAGUAACACGUGGGUAACCUGCCCAUAAGACUGGGAUAACUCCGGGAAACCGGGGCUAAUACCGGAUAACAUUUUGAACCGCAUGGUUCGAAAUUGAAAGGCGGCUUCGGCUGUCACUUAUGGAUGGACCCGCGUCGCAUUAGCUAGUUGGUGAGGUAACGGCUCACCAAGGCAACGAUGCGUAGCCGACCUGAGAGGGUGAUCGGCCACACUGGGACUGAGACACGGCCCAGACUCCUACGGGAGGCAGCAGUAGGGAAUCUUCCGCAAUGGACGAAAGUCUGACGGAGCAACGCCGCGUGAGUGAUGAAGGCUUUCGGGUCGUAAAACUCUGUUGUUAGGGAAGAACAAGUGCUAGUUGAAUAAGCUGGCACCUUGACGGUACCUAACCAGAAAGCCACGGCUAACUACGUGCCAGCAGCCGCGGUAAUACGUAGGUGGCAAGCGUUAUCCGGAAUUAUUGGGCGUAAAGCGCGCGCAGGUGGUUUCUUAAGUCUGAUGUGAAAGCCCACGGCUCAACCGUGGAGGGGCAUUGGAAACUGGGAGACUUGAGUGCAGAAGAGGAUAGUGGAAUUCCAUGUGUAGCGCUGAAAUGCUUAGAGAUAUGGAGGAACACCAGCGACGAAGGCGACUUUCU
rnacentral:rRNA from 1 species